rnacentral:rRNA from 1 species
CGAUGGUAGCUUGCUACCAGGCGUCGAGCGGCGGACGGGUGAGUAAUACUUAGGAAUCUACCUAGUAGUGGGGGAUAGCACGGGGAAACUCGUAUUAAUACCGCAUACGACCUACGGGAGAAAGGGGGCAGUUUACUGCUCUCGCUAUUAGAUGAGCCUAAGUCGGAUUAGCUAGAUGGUGGGGUAAAGGCCUACCAUGGCGACGAUCUGUAGCUGGUCUGAGAGGAUGAUCAGCCACACCGGGACUGAGACACGGCCCGGACUCCUACGGGAGGCAGCAGUGGGGAAUAUUGGACAAUGGGGGAAACCCUGAUCCAGCCAUGCCGCGUGUGUGAAGAAGGCCUUUUGGUUGUAAAGCACUUUAAGCAGUGAAGAAGACUCUUCGGUUAAUACCCGGAGACGAUGACAUUAGCUGCAGAAUAAGCACCGGCUAACUCUGUGCCAGCAGCCGCGGUAAUACAGAGGGUGCAAGCGUUAAUCGGAAUUACUGGGCGUAAAGCGAGCGUAGGUGGCUUGAUAAGUCAGAUGUGAAAUCCCCGGGCUUAACCUGGGAACUGCAUCUGAAACUGUUAGGCUAGAGUAGGUGAGAGGGAAGUAGAAUUUCAGGUGUAGCGGUGAAAUGCGUAGAGAUCUGAAGGAAUACCGAUGGCGAAGGCAGCUUCCUGGCAUCAUACUGACACUGAGGCUCGAAAGCGUGGGUAGCAAACAGGAUUAGAUACCCUGGUAGUCCACGCCGUAAACGAUGUCUACUAGUCGUUGGGUCCCUUGAGGACUUAGUGACGCAGCUAACGCAAUA